rnacentral:lncRNA from 1 species
CGUUUCCUUUCUGUGGUUGGUGCCCGUUUGCUGGAGCCGUCCAGGGGCUCCUGAGACAGCAUGUGCCACAGUGGCAGUGGUGGAGAGGCUACACUGUUGGCGGUUAGGAGUCUCACGUGCACCGAGUGCUUUGGACUGCUUGUCCUCUGGUACUAGGUCCAGGGCACUGAGACAGGGUAACCUGUGUGCCUGAGAGAGUAACAGCUGCACAGCUGUGCCCGGGAGAGCAACAGCUGCACAGCUGUGCCUGGCAACAGCUGCACAGCUUCCUCAUGCUGCCAAUAAGGAGCAUGCAACAGGGCCUGGGGAGCCCGUCAGGGGGCCUGUGGCCCCAGCCGUUAUUGGUGUACCUUCCUCUUUGCCUCUGGUCUGUUCUGACCUGAUACCUUUUCCAAGUAGAGAGGAUGGGCCUGCAGAGCGUCUCAGUGGCCAUAUUUCCACGGUGUCUUGAAGAUACAAAAGACCUGUGUCUAUUCUGUUAUAUUCGACCUUAUAUUUAUGGCCAAGAGCCAGACUCCUGACAGGUGUCACACAAACCUGGGCCAGCAGGACUCCCUUGUGCCACCUGGGUCUUUUCAUAUGGGUGCAAAAGGUCAGGUGUGUCCCUGGAUGACACCGCCUACCGGCACAUGCAUGUUCCUGCCAGAACCCAUGUGGAGGGCGCAGGGGCACCGCAGACCUGCGACUGCAUGGCCGCACUGUUCUUUGCUUUUCUCUCCUCAGACAGAUUGAGCAGCUGCUGCAGCUGCUGACCACCGAGAUACUGAGCCCUGACAGCCAGGCCCC